UGAGUGCUAAGUGUUAGAGGGUUUCCGCCCUUUAGUGUUGCNACUAACGCAUUAAGCACUCCGCCCUGGGGAGUACUGGCCGCAAGGCUGAAACUCAANGGAAUUGACGGGGGCCCGCACAAGCGGUGGANCAUGUGGUUUAAUUCGAAGCAACGCGAAGAACCUUACCAGGUCUUUGACAUCCUCUGACACUNCCUAGAGAUAAGGAAUUUCCCCUUCGGGGGUCAGAGUGACAGGUGGUGCAUGGUUGUCGUCAGCUCGUGUCGUGAGAUGUNGGGUUAAGUCCCGCAACGAGCGCAACCCUUGAUCUUAGUUGCCAGCAUUUAGUUGGGCACUCUAAGGUGACUGCCGGUGACAAACCGGAGGAAGGUGGGGAUGACGUCAAAUCAUCAUGCCCCUUAUGACCUGGGCUACACACGUGCUACAAUGGAUGGUACAAAGGGCAGCGAAGCCGCGAGGUGAAGCCAAUCCCACAAAACCAUUCCAAGUUCGGAUUGCAGGCUGCAACUCGCCUGCAUGAAUCCGGAAUCGCUAGUAAUCGCGGAUCAGCAU
rnacentral:rRNA from 1 species